CAAUAGCGUAUAUUUAAGUUGCUGCAGUUAAAAAGCUCGUAGUUGGAUUUCGGGUGGGAAUGGCCGGUCCGCCGUUUCGGUGUGCACUUGCUACGCCCACCUUGCUGCCGGGGACGUGCUCUUGAGUUCACGCUCGGGACACGGAGUCGGCGAGGUUACUUUGAGUAAAUUAGAGUGUUCAAAGCAGGCCUACGCUCUGAAUACAUUAGCAUGGAAUAACACGAUAGGACUCUGGCCUAUCUUGUUGGUCUGUAGGACCGGAGUAAUGAUUAAGAGGGACAGUCGGGGGCAUUCGUAUUCCGUUGUCGGAGGUGAAAUUCUUGGAUUUACGGAAGACGAACAUCUGCGAAAGCAUUUGCCAAGGAUGUUUUCAUUGA
rnacentral:rRNA from 1 species